rnacentral:rRNA from 1 species
CAGCCGCCACGGGAAUACGUAGGUGGCAAGCGUUAUCCGGAAUUAUUGGGCGUAAAGGGCUCGCAGGCGGUUUCUUAAGUCUGAUGUGAAAGCCCCCGGCUCAACCGGGGAGGGUCAUUGGAAACUGGGAAACUUGAGUGCAGAAGAGGAGAGUGGAACUCCACGUGUAGCGGUGAAAUGCGUAGAGAUGUGGAGGAACACCAGUGGCGAAGGCGACUCUCUGGUCUGUAACUGACGCUGAGGAGCGAAAGCGUGGGGAGCGAACAGGAUUAGAUACCCCAGUAGUCCCUGUCUCUUAUAA